AAUUACAAAUAUUGCCAGGCAAUUUAUAUUCACUACACUGACUAAAUUUCAAAGUAAUCUGACCCAACCCUUCAUGGUAUUGCUUUAA